AAGCCGCAAGGUCUAGCUAAUCUCAUAAAGCUCGUCGUAGUCCGGAUUGGAGUCUGCAACUCGACUCCAUGAAGUCGGAAUCGCUAGUAAUCGUAGAUCAGAAUGCUACGGUGAAUACGUUCCCGGGCCUUGUACACACCGCCCGUCACACCAUGGGAGUGGGCUGCACCAGAAGUAGAUAGUCUAACCUUCGGGAGGACGUUUACCACGGUGUGGUUCAUGACUGGGGUGAAGUCGUAACAAGGUAGCCCUAGGGGAACCUGGGGCUGGAUCACCUCCUUACCU
rnacentral:rRNA from 1 species